UGACGAGUGGCGGACGGGUGAGUAAUGCUUGGGAACUUGCCUUUGCGAGGGGGAUAACAGUUGGAAACGACUGCUAAUACCGCAUAAUGUCUACGGACCAAACGGGGCUUAGGCUCCGGCGCAAAGAGAGGCCCAAGUGAGAUUAGCUAGUUGGUAAGGUAAAGGCUUACCAAGGCGACGAUCUCUAGCUGUUCUGAGAGGAAGAUCAGCCACACUGGGACUGAGACACGGCCCAGACUCCUACGGGAGGCAGCAGUGGGGAAUAUUGCACAAUGGGGGAAACCCUGAUGCAGCCAUGCCGCGUGUGUGAAGAAGGCCUUCGGGUUGUAAAGCACUUUCAGUUGUGAGGAAAAGUUAGUAGUUAAUACCUGCUAGCCGUGACGUUAACAACAGAAGAAGCACCGGCUAACUCCGUGCCAGCAGCCGCGGUAAUACGGAGGGUGCGAGCGUUAAUCGGAAUUACUGGGCGUAAAGCGCACGCAGGCGGUUUGUUAAGCUAGAUGUG
rnacentral:rRNA from 1 species